ACGAAGGGGGCAAGCGUUGUUCGGAAUUACUGGGCGUAAAGGGCGCGUAGGCGGUCUUGUUAGUCAGGCGUGAAAGCCCUGGGCUUAACCUGGGAUGUGCGCUUGAUACUGCGAGGCUUGAGUGUGGGAGAGGUUGGUGGAAUUCCCAGUGUAGAGGUGAAAUUCGUAGAUAUUGGGAAGAACACCGGUGGCGAAGGCGGCCAACUGGACCACAACUGACGCUGAGGCGCGAAAGCGUGGGGAGCAAACAGGA
rnacentral:rRNA from 1 species